rnacentral:misc_RNA from 1 species
AACACUGUUAACCUGCGGUACCUGCGGAGGGAUCAUUACAGUGCCUGCGGGCGCCGGGUAACCCCCGGCGUCUCGCGACCUGGCCACCCGUGUCUACCUUACCUUCUGUUGCUUCGGCGGGCCCGCUCCCUGGGGGCCGCCGGGGGUGCGCUACGGCGCUGCGCCGUGGCGCACCCCUGGCCAGUGCCCGCCGAGGGCCAUUGGAACUCUUGUGGAUCAGUGACGUCUGAGGCUUAUUCU